GACGAACGCUGGCGGCGUGCUUAACACAUGCAAGUCGAACGCUGAAGCUUGGUGCUUGCACUGGGUGGAUGAGUGGCGAACGGGUGAGUAAUACGUGAGUAACCUGCCCUUGACUCUGGGAUAAGCCUGGGAAACUGGGUCUAAUACUGGAUACGACAUGUCACCGCAUGGUGGCGUGUGGAAAGGGUUUUACUGGUUUUGGAUGGGCUCACGGCCUAUCAGCUUGUUGGUGGGGUAAUGGCUCACCAAGGCGACGACGGGUAGCCGGCCUGAGAGGGUGACCGGCCACACUGGGACUGAGACACGGCCCAGACUCCUACGGGAGGCAGCAGUGGGGAAUAUUGCACAAUGGGCGCAAGCCUGAUGCAGCGACGCCGCGUGAGGGAUGCCGGCCUUCGGGUUGUAAACCUCUUUCAGCACGGAAGAAGCGAAAGUGACGGUACGUGCAGAAGAAGCGCCGGCUAACUACGUG
rnacentral:rRNA from 1 species